rnacentral:rRNA from 1 species
UACGUAGGGGGCAAGCGUUGUCCGGAUUUAUUGGGCUUAAAGGGUGCGUAGGCGGCCCUGUAAGUCAGUGCUGAAAUAUCCCGGCUUAACCGGGAGGGUGGCAUUGAUACUGCGGGGCUAGAGUACAGAUGAGGUAGGCGGAAUUGACGGUGUAGCGGUGAAAUGCUUAGAUAUCGUCAAGAACACCUAUAGCGAAGGCAGCUUACUAGGCUGUAACUGACGCUGAGGCACGAAAGUGUGGGGAUCAAACAGG